UCUUUUCUUGCACCUUCCUUGUCUCAAAGUUUCUUAAUAAAGAACAUAGUUAUAAUAACUAUUUCAAUUUAUUUUUCCAUUCACUCUAAAAUAUUUAUCAGUUCUACAUCAGGUUGAAUUGAAUGCUUUUUUUUUUUUUUUUUCCUUCUCAUUAAGGGCUGCAUUUUCCUGCUUCUUUUUCAGGUCUGGUGAUUUUAAUUGGAUGACAAACAUGAUGUAUUUUAUCUUGCUGGGUGCCAGAUACCUUUUAUUCCCAUAAAUUUGAUUGAGCCUUGUUCUGGGAUGAAGUUGGCUUAAAAUAGCUUGAUCCUUUUUGGUGUUUCUUGCAAAAUACAUUAAGUGGAACUGAAAUAGUAUUUAGUCUGAGGAUAAUUAUUCUUCACAACUGAGGCAAGACCCUUCUGUGUGCUCUGCCCAACGCUCUCUGAAUCUUGAGGUUUUCUAGUCUGGUUGGUAAGAAGACGCACUGUUCCUGACCAGCAGAGACCUCCCUUUGGUGUUUCACGUGCAUCCCUGGUGGCCGUCACGACAAUCAUCCGACCCGACAGCCAACUGUCUCCCCACCGGAUGCCUAUGCUGGCUGGAAGCAAGAGGGAGAACACACAUUGAGAAUACUCGCUUGCGCUUCCUUUCCAAAGAUAAUGAUACAAGAGGCUACUUCUCACGUCCACACGUUCCUCUCCGGUGAAGACAAUGUUACACUGGAAAGUCUUCUAGAGGAUGGAUGGCAAUGAACCCCGAUGGUGGUGAUCAUUUCACGAUAGAUGUGGAAACAAAAACCCACCACGCUGGACCCCUCAUACGUCUACAGGGAUGCCAGGAGGGUUUUGCUACACGCUCAAACCUGGACCACAGAAGGGCCACGUGUGCUCGUGGCAAUACGUCAUGCACUCCUACUGGAAAACAGCUUUCACUCCACAGGGACAUACUUUUAUUUUUCAUAAAGAAUGUGCAUCAGAGCAAAACAAAGUUGGAAUACUCAAUUUUAAAAUUAGUCACAUAAAUCCCAACA